rnacentral:rRNA from 1 species
AGUGAACGCUGGCGGUAGGCCUAACACAUGCAAGUCGAACGGCAGCACAGUAAGAGCUUGCUCUUACGGGUGGCGAGUGGCGGACGGGUGAGGAAUACAUCGGAAUCUACUUUUUCGUGGGGGAUAACGUAGGGAAACUUACGCUAAUACCGCAUACGACCUACGGGUGAAAGCAGGGGAUCUUCGGACCUUGCGCGAUUGAAUGAGCCGAUGUCAGAUUAGCUAGUUGGCGGGGUAAAGGCCCACCAAGGCGACGAUCCGUAGCUGGUCUGAGAGGAUGAUCAGCCACACUGGAACUGAGACACGGUCCAGACUCCUACGGGAGGCAGCAGUGGGGAAUAUUGGACAAUGGGCGCAAGCCUGAUCCAGCCAUACCGCGUGGGUGAAGAAGGCCUUCGGGUUGUAAAGCCCUUUUGUUGGGAAAGAAAAGCAGCAGGUUAAUACGCCGCUGUUCUGACGGUACCCAAAGAAUAAGCACCGGCUAACUUCGUG